GUUGCAAUCAACCACAACAGGCCUUUUUCAGAUCAAGGUCCUUUUGACAUUGUUUUACAUAAGGUACAGAUUGUUCAUCAGUUCAGAUAUUCAGAAAGGAUUUUUAUCAAGAGAUUCGACUGAGGAAUUGUAAGAACUGAAACUACAAAAUCUGUGGGUACUGUUGCUAAGAUGCAGUUAAAGAUCUGUGGAGGAUGCUGAUGUUGUCUAUGCAGAUAUGCAACAUGCAGAGAAAGAAACAUGAUUGGAAAAUGCUUGUUGUUUUUUAAAGUGUGACUUGCAUCCUAAUAUGGGCCAUGUAUAAUCAGAAUCCUUCCUGUCCUCAGUGCAAGCAUCCGUUUCAGUUCCUCAGUGUUCAUCGAUCACCAGAUGGAAGCUCUCAUUGAAUCAGGAUAUCAUGGGGAAAGUGAGGGAUAGGUUGAGGAGUUGCUACCAUAAGGAUUUCGUCAUCGACGAAGAUAGCCAGUGGAUGCUUCAGGGGUGGAAGGGGCGGAUCAUUUAUGCACUUUCCACUUGGAAACUAGACCAUGAUAGCUUUUGAGUAUCAGAAAGCUUGCUUCUAGUUGUGUACUUGAAACAGGAACGCUCUUCCUGCUUCUCUGGUCCUAUGGCCGCUCGGAACAAAAUCAAAGGUACUUUUGAUCUGAUUUGCAAGAGCAAUUGGUCUUAAGCACAAACACUGCCUCAAUUUCCAACGAUGCAGAAGUCGAAUUCUCAUGAGAGUCCCAAAGCCAUGAGACUCUGGACAAUGACCUUGCAUUGAAAAUAUAUAUCAAGGCAAUGGCUACCCCAAAAGUUGUCGCUGCUUUUUCUGAACGAGAAGGGAGUUUGACAAAAUUCUCAUUUACUCAAAGCAGGUUGGAUACAUGCCUGAUUAUCUUUUCCUUCUGCAAACAAUUCUGAGAUCAGAUCCCCAGGAAUGUUGGAAAUAACCAUUUUACUGGCUGGAUUCCCCCCAGUUGAGAAAAUUAAACAAUAAUCUCCGGAUUGAUGGUAACUCAUGGAAAUGAUGCUCCUUUGGCUGUGAUGCUCCGAUCCGAGAGAAAAUAGUCACGUGGAAGGGGACCUUACUGAAACAGUUCAUGUGGAAGGCUAUGUGACAGCCUGUUUGUUUUGAAAACUUUAAAUAGACCAUUAAUUGUUUUGU